rnacentral:rRNA from 1 species
GACGAACGCUGGCGGCGUGCUUAACACAUGCAAGUCGAACGGAAAGGCCUGCUUUCCCUUGUGGUUUGCGGGUACUCGAGCGGCGAACGGGCGAGUAAAACGCGAGCGAUUUGCCCCCAACUUGGGUAUAAGACCGGGAAACUGGGCCUAAUUACCGAUAGGACUGCAGGGUGGUGUCGGUGGUGGAAAACGAUCUGCUAGUGGUUGGGGAUGAGCUCGCGGCUUAUCAGCUUGUUGGAGGGGUAAUGGCCGACCACGGCGGGGACGGGUAGCCGGCCGGAGAGGGUGGACGGCGGCAUUGGGACUGGGAUACGGCCCAGACUCCUGCGAGCGGCAGCGAUGGGGAAUCAAGGGCCGUGGGCGUGAGCCUGAUGCAGCGACGCCGCGUGGGAGAUGUCGGCCUUCGGGUUGUAAGCUCCUUUCGACCGCGAGGAGGCCACCUAGUUGGAAGGGUGGUGACGGUAGUGGUAGAAGAAGCACCGGCUAACUACGUG